rnacentral:rRNA from 1 species
GAUGAACGCUAGCGGCAGGCUUAAUACAUGCAAGUCGAACGGGAAUUGGGUAGCAAUACCUGAUGAUAGUGGCGCACGGGUGCGUAACGCGUAUGCAACCUACCUUUAACGAGGGGGAUAGCCCGGAGAAAUUCGGAUUAAUACCCCAUAGUAUUAUGGAGAGGCAUCUUUUCAUGAUUAAAGUUCCGGCGGUUAAAGAUGGGCAUGCGUGCCAUUAGCUAGUUGGUGAGGUAACGGCUCACCAAGGCGACGAUGGUUAGGGGUCCUGAGAGGGUUAUCCCCCACACUGGUACUGAGACACGGACCAGACUCCUACGGGAGGCAGCAGUAAGGAAUAUUGGUCAAUGGGCGGAAGCCUGAACCAGCCAUGCCGCGUGCAGGAAGACGGCCUUAUGGGUUGUAAACUGCUUUUGUCAGGGAAUAAACCCUCGUUUGCGAACGAGGCUGAAGGUACCUGAAGAAUAAGCAUCGGCUAACUCCGUG